AGUGAACGCUGGCGGUAGGCCUAACACAUGCCAGUCGAACGGCAGCACAGUAAGAGCUUGCUCUUACGGGUGGCGAGUGGCGGACGGGUGAGGAAUACAUCGGAAUCUACUUUUUCGUGGGGGAUAACGUAGGGAAACUUACGCUAAUACCGCAUACGACCUACGGGUGAAAGCAGGGGAUCCUCGGACCUUGCGCGAUUGAAUGAGCCGAUGUCGGAUUAGCUAGUUGGCGGGGUAAAGGCCCACCAAGGCGACGAUCCGUAGCUGGUCUGAGAGGAUGAUCAGCCACACUGGAACUGAGACACGGUCCAGACUCCUACGGGAGGCAGCAGUGGGGAAUAAUGGACAAUGGGCGCAAGCCUGAUCCAGCCAUACCGCGUGGGUGAAGAAGGCCUUCGGGUUGUAAAGCCCUUUUGUUGGGAAAGAAAAGCAGCAGGUUAAUACCCCGCUGUUCUGACGGUACCCAAAGAAUAAGCACCGGCUAACUUCGUG
rnacentral:rRNA from 1 species